rnacentral:rRNA from 1 species
GUCUACGGCCAUGCCACCCUGAACAAGCUCGAUCCCAUCUGAUCUCGGAAGCUAAGCAGAGUCGGGCCUGGUUAGUACUUGGAUGAGAGACCAUCUAGGAAGACCAGGUGCUGUAGGCA